AGCAGCCGCGGUAAUUCCAGCUCCAAUAGCGUAUAUUAAAGUUGCUGCAGUUAAAAAGCUCGUAGUUGAAUUUCGGGACUAAUAUGUCGGUCGUGCCUCGGUACGUACUGGUAUUUUUGGUUUCUCCCUUCUGACGAACCUUGAUGUCAUUAAUUUGGUGUCUUGGGAAAUCAGGACUGUUACUUUGAAAAAUUAGAGUGUUUAAAGCAGGCUCACGCUUGAAUACAUUAGCAUGGAAUAAUGAAAUAGGACGUUUGAUUCUAUUUUGUUGGUUUCUAGGAUCGACGUAAUUGAUUAAUAGGGAUAGUUGGGGCAUUAGUAUUCGAUUGUCAGAGGUGAAAUUCUUGGAUUUAUUGAAGACUAACUACUGCGAAAGCAUUUUGCCAAGGAUGUUUUCAUUAAUCAAGAACGAAAGUUAGGGGAUCGAAGACGAUCAGAUACCGUCGUAGUCUUAACCA
rnacentral:rRNA from 1 species